rnacentral:lncRNA from 1 species
UGAAAACUGAAAUGCUCCAGAGGCGGUACUUGAAAAAUUAGAGAACCACCAUAUGUCCAAAGUCUUCUCUGAUGUUAUGUUAUGUGUCGUAUGUGUGUUUACACUAAGUACUUGAAUGGUGCAUGUCCUUUGAUGUCUCAGUGUUUGGAAUCACUUGGUGAGGGACAGUGUUAGCUGUAUCUGUGGGUGGUCAAUUAGUCAACUGCUCUAAUCUUGAGGGCAUGUUUCUAGAUUAGACCCAGCAUUAUUCUGGGGCACCUAGGUAAGCUGCACUACUAUUGUCAUAUGUAAAUGUUAUUGUUAUGUUAUAGAAUAACUAUGGUAUUAGUCAGAACUGCUUACUGAAUUCUUAUGUGACCUUGGUGCUUGGUUGAAGCAGUUAUCCAAUUUUCAGAAAACUAUCAGUAUUGCAAUACCUAUUUCCAGUGUGAAUCAUUGGGCAGGUGUAUUCACUAAUUUAAGCCUCUUAGAAGGUCCGGUUUGGAACGCGAGAAUUUUUCUGGGUUCCAGAUUGAAUUAUUUCCUGCGAAAUUCUUCUUGUCCCAAACAUGCCCUAAAAGUUUAUUCAUCCACUUCUUCUGUCAGCCAUCUGUAAAGAUGGUGGAUUUGACAACCUACUGAAAGUGGUAUUGUCAAACCGGGUUUCAUAAUGAAAGAAAGUUGUCACUUAAUCUCUAAGUGUUUCUCUUAUGGGUAUUCUCACAUUUGAGAAUCUUGGAAUAAGGUUUUCUAAGUAUGGUACCCUCUAGUUAUGGUCGGUAUGAUGAGAAGGAUGGCUAGUUAGUCCAUGUCAUUUCCGAAGACACUUUUCUGAAUACAAUAGUCAAAAAUAUACAAACAUGUGCUGGUUACAUUUUGCGCAAUCACCUACCGUUACCAUACCCCUUGUAUGUAUUCUGUGACAUCCUAUUGAGCACAUGCUGAUUCUUUAUUCUUGAUUUGCCUUAGAAACUAAGGAUCAUGUGUUAAUCAGCAAACAAAGCAUGCCACCUAUCUUUUUUUUUCGAUAAGGGGGGACUCCCCGGCCUCUGCAUCAGAACGAUGCAUACGGCCACCUCAAUAAAUAAAAUAGGUUCAACAAAGUCGUAUAGUCUUCAACAAAAUAAAAGCAAGCUCACCUAGAACCUCGAAGCUAAACCAAGAAAAAACCAUAAGCCAAGAAAAAGCCAUAAGCCACAACCGGCUGGUAAAAUGAAGAUAGGAAAACUAAUUGACUAUCCUAUUACAUGACCGCCAACCAAACCGGUUGAAGAUAUCCCGCGCUAUCAUCUCCCACCGGACAGAUCCAGUAACCAAACGCUCCCUGGCCUCCGUCGGAGUGAGUAAGGACCACAUACGGAUCAGCGCCGUAGCACGGAAUACAACCUGCAAAAAAUGAAUAGUAGUUAUCCUGUUAAAAACCAAGUCAUUUCUGCAGUUUCAAAUUGCCCAUAACAACGCAUACACUCCUACACGAAUAUGCCUAGCUGUAUCGGACUCUAUCCCAUCCAGCCACGUUCCAAAUAACGACCCAACCGUACUUGGAGGAGUGAUGUUAAAAGCAAUUUGCACAGAGCGCCACAGAAUUCUCGCCAAAGGACAAUCAAGGAAGAGAUGCUUAAUGGUCUCAUCAUGAUCACAGAAGCUACACCUAGUAGAUCCAGUCCAAUUGCGCUUGACCAAGUUGUCCUUUGUUAAAAUUACCUGUUUAUGGACAAACCACAUAAACACUUUAAUUUUCAAAGGCACAUGUACUUUCCACACAUGCCACCUAUCUGUACUGUCUUGGCAACUUCCUGCAAGCAUGUGUUCAAUUGUAUAGCAUAUUUGACUUGGUGAUAGUACAGUUAAGCUGCAGUUUUGUUGAUGUGAGUAUGCAGCUGCAAAAUUGGCAGCAAAACUUAGUUUGUCAAAUCAAAUGUACAACUGUCAAAACCAUACAAUGUCAUUUUGCCGACAUCGGAGAAGGAGGAAUAUAGCAUGGUUUCUUCUUUAGUAAAAUAUGAUAUAAUGCUGACAUAUAAUGUUAGCUUAUCUAUUGAUGUAAUCUAUCAAUUCUGUAGAGCUGGUUGUUGGGAUUUCCAGGAUUGCUUUCAACUUAAGUUCAGACAAGCAGAACAAACUAAUGGUGAUUGGCUGAUGGUUCCCCUUAUACCGGUCUCUUCCUUUCAAACUUUGUUCAUCUGUCCCACUGACACAAAGAGAUGUCACAAUAUCAUAUGAUCUAUUAUAUGAUACAUGUCACUGUUUUUGUCUCGCGGACUAAUAUUUGUCAAAAGUAAAUUUGACCACAAAAAUCUUCUUGAAAUUAACUUGGUUGCCAAAGGCAUGUUCUGUUAUAUUAAGAAUGUGUGCUCUAGAUCAAAAGCAAGUAGAACUAAACAUGCACAUUACCUGCCAGGGCACAUCCUGUUCAUAAUCUUAUAAAGAAAUACCAAUGUUGAUUCACACGCAGAGAAAAGAAUCAAUAUGUCAUCAGCAACUUGGAUAAGCUAGAGUGACACGAGACCUAAUCACCAAGCAACACUAGCAACAACCUUGAUUACUAUCAUGACUUCAUGAGUCAUGACAUGCAUGUUCCUUCUGCUUCAAGGUAUAAUCCCAUCACAGAGUUCUAAUUAAAGUCCACAUACACUAUGUAUCCACCACUAUGGAUCUUUUUACAAGAAACUACUCAUGCAUGCAUCCUCCUUUCUAUCUACUAUAGGCAGUGAGCUUCAAUUACCUCUCCACUGGCAGCCUUCAACUAUUAUCACUUUGAGUCUGAGUGACCAAAUUAUGCCCAUUAGGUGACACCUACUUUCAGCGAUAGGCCUAUUACUGCAAACAGCCUAGCUAACAAGCUUUUGUAGUGGACAAUAAUUGUGGUUGAGUACCGGUGUUAAGACUUGGCAAUCACAAAAAUCGCCCUUUGCUGACACCUUAGCUGCUAAUGGUGAUGCAUUGUUAGACUUUGGAGCGAAAACCGAUGGUGUUGUUUCUUUCAACAGUAUUCCUGACCCAACAGAUACAGUGACAGAGGUUGUUCAGAAGAUGUUGAGUUUGCGAUGACAUUUUUCCAAACCAUCGGUUCGCAGCGGUACAGUUAUCGUAGUCGGAAACAGACAUUUCAAAGUGGCGUAUAUCUGAAUUUACCUUUGGGAAAUAGUCAUGCGCCUAUCCCCUUUUGUCUUCUGACACAACGUUUCCUGAAUCAUUCUUCCAAAUAAAUGACAUUGUGCUGCAACUGAAGUCAAAUCACGUUUAUUUCCGAAACCGUUAUGUUUCCCUUUUUUUUUCUUUUUUUUGUACUAUAUCUUAAUAUGUACCCAUCCAUAUCCUUCAUGGCCGAUAAUUCCAAUAUCAGUACUAUCGUCUUGCUGCAUAUGUGGAUGAUCUCCAUGGUGUAUAUAUGUUACGUCGAAACUAAUAGUACCAAAUAUAUUUCCGGUAAGCUUAUUACAGAUGACAAGGAUGCUUAUUUUGUUUUCUUGGCCCAACAAGAAGCAUCUGUCUCAUGGAAGGCAAGGGUUGCAUUGCUCCGUCUGUUUACGAGAGCUUUAAAAGAGGAAAGUGGAAUUCCACUUUGACAAAUUCUCAAGUCUCAAACGAGAAUAGAUUCUAAAACAAGCCAAAAUGCUGCUUUUCCUGAGCCUUAUUUGAAGCAACUGCAUCUUAGCAUUCUCUGAGCGCUUCAUUCCCCGAUCCAAGCAAAGUUAUGCUGAAGCCUAAAGAACGGAGACUUCCUUUCCAGGAACUGAAUCAGACGAACAAAAUAAAUUGCAGCACUGAAUUCCAAGCUUGUGAAACUGAAACCUCACUCUGAUGUUACAUUGAAAUGGCACUUGUGCCCAGAUCCUUUGCACCAAGCAUGGAACAUGGCAAGUGCAAGCAAGGACAACUGGCCACUCAGAGCAAGAAUGAUGGCCUGCCACAACUCAUGGACAAAGACAAUUUGGCUCAAUUCAAACAAUUUUGGGACCAUUCAAAUUCUAUAAAGAAACGUAAGCGGGUUAAGCGGUCGAGCUCUCGGCGCACGCUUGCCUAUCUGUCGCGUCGCACGCCGUGUGAUGCUCGUUCCUUAUCUGAAAGCUGGGGAGCAAUCGUCCGAGUCACGCUGCGUUGCUGCAAAGGCAUAGGUAUGAUAGACAAUUAUGCCUGCCAUGCCCCAGGUUUAGCCCAGUUGAGCACCUAUUCUUUUCGCAGUAGUCAGUGCUAAGUCGUGUGCUCUUGAGAGAUACUCAUGCCUUCCCUCUCUCUGCUUUUCCUCGAUGCUUCCUCUGCUUUGGUAGCGCAAACCUGUGAGCUCUUUUUUCCUUUUCUCUGUGAUGAAGAACGACAAUCCUGUGAGCUCUGAUUUUUGCCUUCCUUCUCUAACCGCUCACUCAUCAAUGCUAGUACUCCUACAUCAAACUUACAGUGCGAUUGUACCAUUUUGGUGCAGUAAGCAGCAACUGGUUAGUACAGUACGAUCAAACUUAACUUACGGGCUACCACUACUUAACCACUAGCUAGCCAGUACUGCAUGAGACGUGUAAGCGCCAAAUGCUAAUCAAUGCCGUAAUGCAUGGUCCUGUGGCUACAUUUGGCUGCUUCCUUUGGCAUCCACUGUUCCUCUAUGCUGAACCUGCACUAGUUAGUUAAAAGCCACUGAACAGUAACACUGCCGUGGCUUCAUGGCACGUCCAUUUCCAGUCCUCUAAUCAAUACUCACUGCAUCAGAAACAGCAAUGCACAACCACUACGAACGAACCUUCUUCACCAGCUAGCCAGUAGCCAGUGGCCAGUGGCCAGUACAAAAGCGUCCAGCUCUACUAAGAUUCUGCCGCUUUUACACUGCGAGGAAGUGGAGCAGCGGUCAGAUACCCGUCGCCUUUGUACACACAUGUGCACAUGCAUGAUGCAUCAGCACAUGGCCGAAAUGCUAACGAGAUAUAUUCACCCACAGACGCAGACUAACCAAUGAUUAAUCAGUGCUGAUGAAGGCGAGAACAUAUGUCUUUGGGACAGCCGAUGCACUGUUCCAAUCUGUAAAUUAAAGAAGACACGGCACAGCAGUGUGCCCCAUGAGGCUGAUUAAUUAAAAAGCGCAUGUAUAUGAGGAAAAAUCAUGGGAGCAGAUCCUCCUUAGAAGCAAAGGGGAGAGGAGGACAAGGAAAGGUAUGUGUGUAUGCAGAGUUGCAGCGGGAGCCUAACGAAGCUUAAUUUGCAGGCAAAUAACAGCCGCUUUUAAGGGCCCUCGACCUGCUUGCUCGCUAGGUUUUGGAGCCUGGUAUUUUGUGAAGGACGAGCCGAAGAGCUUCUGCUCGUCUCUGAGAGGGAGGCACGAGGCAAGCUAAGGCAGGCCGGAUUUCGUCUGAAGAAUAUUAAGCUUCUCGUCCCUGCCUCUCUGCCGCAUUGCGUUUCAACUCACUCAGGUACCACUGAAAACCUAUGCAGCCUAUGAAAAUUCAGGCUUGCUCUUCUUGUUUAGUCUUGUUUUCGAUCGGUUUUGUUUGGAAUCUUGGAAUUUUCCGUCUCGUUUUUUCUCUUGUGGUGCGUGCCGUUCGCCAUUGCUGCAUCUGUCGUUACUUUUUCUCGGACCGAAGUUGCGUCGUAGCUUAGCUUGUGAACUGGAAUCAUGCGCUGCAUUUCACAACUUCAGUUACGCGUUGUCCAAUUACUCUCGAUCCUCUUGUAGCAAACAGGUUCAUCGUAGCUGAGGUUAAUCUUCAGAGUUCAGACUACUGAACUUAUCGGGCGUGAUUAACAACAAGACAAUAUGUUACUAGUAAAGUAAAAAAGGCGAUGAGAUCCUAGCUUUCGGCAAACGUAGCACACUUUUUGGCAAAAGUAGCUAGCUGCCUCACAAGUCAGAACCGCGUCGUAAUGAACACGUGGUCCGCUAGUGGUAAUCUUUUUUUUUUUCNNNNNNNNNNNNNNNNNNNNNNNNNNNNNNNNNNNNNNNNNNNNNNNNNNNNNNNNNNNNNNNNNNNNNNNNNNNNNNNNNNNNNNNNNNNNNNNNNNNNNNNNNNNNNNNNNNNNNNNNNNNNNNNNNNNNNNNNNNNNNNNNNNNNNNNNNNNNNNNNNNNNNNNNNNNNNNNNNNNNNNNNNNNNNNNNNNNNGAACGCCCCACCGGUUGUUAUAUUACCCGAAAGCGACGUAGCGUCAUAUAGUGUUUCUCAUCGAGGAGAUAAAAAACAUCAAGAUAAGAGGUAAAAAAACAGAAGAAAGAGAGAGAGGAAAAACUAGGCAGCUAAGGAAAUGAAGGAGCGAAACAGGAAGAGCUGCUCCCUCGAUUCAGUCUCAAAACGCUUGGACCACAGAAGUGUAUCGUCGGCCGCUCGCCGGAGGACGUCGCCAGCCCUGCAAAUGAUGGAGUUGAACACCACAUCGUUCCUGGCUUUCCUUCUUGUCUUCGGAACAGCGUCGGCGUCGUACCAGCUUUGCUGAUGCCACAUACGCAAAUCUCAUUUUGGGUGCGAAGAAGUUACCACAAAAGGCCAAAGAAAAUGCUUCACGGCUUGUCCAAUUGUUGUCGCAUAUCCUUGUCACCGGCCGGGAAUGUAUUACGUAUAACAUACGUAGUUCAUGUCGUCAUCCUAGCCUGACGAGACCCUGUAAAUCACCAUCGGCGACACACCUCAACUCAUCUAUUACCAUGUUUCCUCCACGUUCUUUUUGUGAAUAUAUGCCGCGAUCGAGCCCAUGUUGUACAAUCUACCGUGUUACAGCAGUGUAUAACUAACUACUUGUGCAGGCCUGUCAGUGUGCAACAUCUGGCACAUCAUGCAUGCUCAACACGCCCGCCUGAUUCCGUUGCCAUUGUAGGAGCUCCAGCUGGGAGUAUUAUUAGCACACGUCAAUCAGAAUUCAGAGACCUUAUCUACGGCACAAACCGUAUGCGUGUAUUUCUGUAUUUGUAACCCAUACGCGCACAAUUCACAUGUACGUGCUGGGAAUGGGAUCAGAGCCUCUGAUCCGCCGUAGACAGGCAAGCACAAUCAUGGGCACAUGAUGCUUCCCCUCUGUCUCGUCCCAUGUCCAUCAUCGUCGGACACAAGCUAAGCUACGGUCAAACUGAACCCCAAUCAGGAUCGAAUGGAUGCACAGUGCAGCUCGGCGAGAUGAUCGCCCUGAUCAUUGGGGGCGGAUUUCUUCUUCUUGUCCCAGAUCUAGGAGAGUGUGUAGUGUUCAUGUCGUUACCGCUGUCCAUGCAUGGCUCCGCGGGAGAGAAAAGAAACGGAGUCUGUCCUGGAUUCUUCUGCGUAUAGUUUUUCUUUUAAAAUCGCCGGCCCGUUUGUUUCUGUGCACUAGAAUCGGUGAUCCGGUUCGCUGUUCUCGGACCAAAAUCCAAAGCUCCGUCUACAUGCUUAUACAGAAACCGAUACACGAAGCUUGUUUCCCUGUCCACGUGCUUACAUAAACCGAUACGGUUCUUGCACGUGGUUUCCCAUGCGUCGGCUGCGGAUUUGUCGUGCUGUAAUUUAGAUUGCCAUGCUCCUUUUUGUGAUCGAGUAACACGUAGUGCUCUCGUACCGACACAUCACUAGACCAACCCAACCCAGCAUUCAGCACAAGCGUAAUGCCGACCGAUGUGAUGCUCUCGUGCAAGGACCGGCCGGCACACCCGGCGGCAGCAGAUGCGGACAGAGAGGCGAAAACGGCAAGGAGGCUUCCAGCCAUUUAAAGGGCACUUUUUUUUUUUUUUUUUUGCGAAAGGGCACUGUGUAGCGCAGGGAGCGGUGGCCGCUGGUCCAGACCUGUACUCAAGAAAGAAAGAAAGCAUGCAUGUCUUGGCUCCGUCUUCCGUCCAGUAAUCUCCUCGAAAGGAGAGAGAGAAUUCUUAACGCCACCUUUACAGAGGAGGGAGCGGCCUUUUUGUCCCGCGAGCCGAGCGAGCAGGUGCGGAGGAGGAAGGAAGACCGGCCCGAGGCGUGCUCCACGGACCGACGCGGAGGAGAUACCAGCGCCGGUUGCGAUAAGGUGGCCGAAAGACGAGCGCUUUGUGCCAAGUGCGUGACAACUGACAAACCCCGGAGGUUUCGGCUGGAUCGCUCCGCUUUACAGCCUCCGCUACGCAUCCAUCCAACCCAACCCAACGCUACGCCCGUCUCCGUGGCCUGUGGGGAUGCCAUGCCAUGGCCUUUCCCCGUUGGUACAGCUUCCAGCCAAAGGCGGGGGGCACUUGUACUGCUGUCUUAUUAUAGACACUGUAACUAACCAACCACACGUACGUACUAGUACUGAGUGUAGCCAAGUAUGGUUGACCUAGGAAUAACUAGCGUGAAUGCCAAGUUUUUUUUUGGGGGGGGAGAGCUGCCUCUCUCUCUGAUUGGUUAGGCUCGGACAGGUAAAGCCCACUCGGGUGGCCUGAGCCCAACGACUUCCCUUUCCCGGUCUGGCUAGAGACAAGCACUCGGGGUCAGAUUAAUUGCGACCGUCGACGUCCCCCGUUGAUGAAUUAGGAAAGGUUUAUCAGAUCGGUAACGUAAGACUCCGUCCGACGUGACACGCCUGCGUGCAUCGUAGGUGCAGUGGGUGCCACCGUUCCAUCUAAUGAGACGCACGUAGUAUUAUACUACAUCCCAGCUAAACUUUCCGGUGGCCAUGGGAUUGUUUAUGGCUGCUUCUCAGUGCACACCAUGCUGCUUUAGUUGUUCAUUCAAGCAACCGCACGUAUAUUAAUUGUGUGCGUGUGCGUGUACAGAGUAAAGAUUGUUAUCGCCACCGAUAGCUAGCGUACAACGCAAAAUACUGCCUCUUGUCAAAUACAAAACCUCUUUUUUCUCCUUUUGACUUUAGAUAAUACAACAUGCUGUCAUUAGGGGUGGUUGAUGUUGAUUGUUACUGCUGCAUCUUGUAGUUCACUUCGACGGGAUAUUAUGUCACCUUUCUUUUACGUAUUUUUUUUGCAGGCAAACCUUUUUUUACGUUGAUGUUUUGUAUUCUUUUGAUGCUAGUGUCAAAAAAGUCUUACAUUAUGGACGGGGGAGUAAUAAAAUACACCGUUUACUAUAAAGAAAAUUAGACAUUGUAUCGGAAGAAGAAGAAAAAAGGCCAACCACUUUUGGCCUCAGAAUUUAAAAAGACCAACCACUCUUAGCCAUUUAUUAGAAAGAAAAUGCAGUAAGUAUUUCUAAAUGUGGUAAAAUUUGUCACGAUGUCACAGCUAAGGUGUACAAGGAAUGGGCAGCAAUAUACAACAAUAAACUGCACGCAUCAACCACUUCAUAAGAAAACAAUUGUCGAAAAAAAAAUGACUAGCAAUAUACUUGAACACAUUUGAAUCACGACAAGGACCGAGUAGAGGAACCGAGCAAAACUCACUAAAGACCUUGCAGCCGGUGAGCUAAGGUUCAAAAGCGACUAAGGGUGGAGGCGGACAAGCAGGACCAUGCCACUUAGAGCAUUUUCAACCAGACUCGUACGAGCCCACUGAUAUGUCUGGGAGGGGCAACCCAAACUCAAAAACGCCACCCAACCUAACUCAUAUGUUUUGAACUAUCUGGCACCCCCUUUUCAACUCAUAUGCGAAACAAAUUUGAGACCACCCGGACACGUCCACCACGCCGGACUGAGUGGUACGACCAAGACGCACAGAAAAACCCAACAGUCUCCUAGGAGGUCACCGUUUUGGUGCCUCAUUCAUGGUGCCGCACCAGUGCGCUGCCUGAGGGGUCAAUCCCGGGCUAUAUAUUAAAGUCGGACGGUGAGGGCCAAACGCCCAAACCCUAGCGGCCCUCAUUUCCUACCUUUCCCCUCCCACCCGGUUGCCACCACGCCCCCGUCGUCUGUUCCGACCUCGCCGCCUGCUAUUCUCCAUGGGAUGCAAGAACAUUAUUGAUUACAAGAUGCGCACACUGGUGCGCGGGGCAAAGCUCGUGGCGGAGAUGCACAUCAUAGAGCAUGGUGCUCCGCCUGCAUUGUGGUCCGCCAACCUCUUUGGAGAUGAGAUCAGAGGAAGAGGAGAAGGAUGCAAGCAUGGAUGUUGAUGAUGAAGAUGAGAUGUAUGUUUAACCCACUGCCGGGUUCGAGGUGGAGGACGCCGCGAUUGCCGGGGGCGAUGGCAUCUACUACCUCUCGAUGAAGGAGGCGGAUUAGUAGUUCCUCCUCGCCUAAGCCGAGGAGCCGGUACACCUCGCGGCGGAGUCACAUUUCGAGGCCGAACGCGCGGAUGUUGUUGCCUUCACCGAGCUCGUUUGUGACAACACCCUAAUUCUUGAGUCUAAGUGAGUGGUGGCGGCGAACUACCACCAAAUCUACCUCCGCUACGUCGAGCGGGGUGAGCUCUUCACGGACGAUGCCGACAACGAGAAGAUGCUCUCGAUCUCUCCCACCGCCAACGACCACGAGGCCGGCAACUCCAGCAAGGGUUCAUCGAGGUAGGAGUAGGACAGUACGUGGUUUGCAAUUUUUCUUUUCGAAUGCAGCACGUUAUUUAUCUAUAUAAGAUGGAAUUACAUACGAAAAUUGCAUGGCUUUGCAUGAAAUUAUGGUCUUGAAUUUGAGGGUUAUGAUUGCCCGGGCAAAAUGGGAUGCAGGGAAAAAGACACGUACUGACGCACGCAAUCUACUCCGUAAGUUGCAUUUUCGCUCCUGCUAGUCACACGUUGGUCGAGUUAAUAUGACACACGAGCGCAUCACGUGAAACAACGGGAGAUUAAGGUACAGAUCUGAAGGUACUUAGCACGUCCAGCAUUUUAAAUUGAAGUACGUACAGUAAUUAACGUAGGAAAGUAGCGCGCGCGUGCGUACGUACCUACGUGCAGCUGCCGUCCUGCGCAGGUACGUACCUACGUGCGUACGCGCGCGUGCGACGGCUCGCCGUCUGCGCGGUUCCCCCGUCUCCGUUGGACGACGACGUGCCCGUCUUGGCGGGUAAUACGACGGGUCGGCGUCGUCGGCGCGCACCGGAGGGUACGCACGCGCCUACGUACGGUCUUGUUGGACCGACCGGCCGGUUGAUUGAACAUGACGGCUGUAUCUUUCAAUCAGCUCUGCAUGCCCAUAUACACUAGCUUUCUUUUUCUUUUCUUUUGCGGGCCAUAUAUAUAUAAUUGCCCCUAAAGAAAGUAUGCCGAAUAUAAUAUAUGACCAAGUGUUCCCGAGUCCGGUGAGCUUCAUCUGCCCGCGUGUAAUUCAAUUGAUGGAUUUCUCAUGCAGAAAUCCUAUUCCUACGAACUACAAGUAGUUUUACAAAAACUUUACGUAUUGCGUGAGGCGGGAUAACCACCUGGCGCAAACGCGUGAACAACCUUCCCAAGGUUCAACUAAUAUGUGCUCCCUCCGUUCGGAAAUACUUGUCAUCAAAAUGAAUAAAAAAAUAUGUACCUAGACUUAUUUUAGUUUUAGAUACAUCCUUUUUUCUUCAUUUUGAUGACAAGUAUUUUCGGACGGAGGGAGUAGGAUUUUCCUAAAAUCAUUGCAUGAGAAUAGCAUCGCUCUUUCACAUGUGACUUGAAAAUUUCGGGUUCACAAAUGCCGGUACUAUUUGCAUGUUUACCAAUUGAGAAAUAACUAACGGACGGUGAAAGGCCAAAUGGAGUAUGCUACAUAGUUUAUGGUUACCAAUUUAAGAUAAGGCAAAUAAUUUGGCAUGCAGUUGGCAGUUUGGCACUUGACCUCAUGUGGCAUGUUUGGUUUCAAAGCAAACAGCCAUGUCAUCAUAUCCCUCUAUUGACACAGAAAUAUCAAGUCGAUAAUUACAGUGGCAGCUCAUGUAACGACACAAAUUGGUGCGACAAUGUAACAUAUACUCCCUCAGUCCAGAAUUACUUGUUAUCAAAAUGGAUGAAAAUUGAUGUAUCUAGAACUAAAAUACAUCUAGAUACAUCCAUUUCACUGACAAGUAUUUUCAGACGGAGGAAGUACUACAAAAAUAAAGAUAAAGAGGACGGCAAGGAGAAGGGUGUUGUGUCGGCGCUGGAACUAGUGUCCACGUAAGAAGCUCACAUCCUUUUCUAAAUGGAAUUUGUAAUACAAAAAUCCAUUUUGGCUCUAGGGGGCACAUGCUCCUGCGUGUCAAAAAUGAAUUUUACAAAUGUAAAAAGAUAAUUAAAAAAUAGAUAUGCCCAUUGUCACUUCCAAACGAUACAUGCAAAUUUUCAAGGAGAAACUUAAGCAUUUUGACCAGUGCAAAAAAAAAAAGGAUCAAACACCAAAUAUUACCUUCAAAUGUUACACUUAAUUUUGUUCUUUUCACCGAUGAAGCACUGCUAUCUCAUAUGGCAUGAAAAUUGUCAAGCACACCUGCUACACUAAUAUGAACAUCUACCAAAAAAAAAAUCAGAAUUUUUCAAAUUUAUUUUGUUUUUUUUGUUUAUUAGGGAGCAUAUGCUCCUCAGAUCCAAAAAUCCGCGUUCUUUGUUUUGUUUUGUUAUACGUAUAUAUGCAAUGAGCGGACACUCAGC